CCUGAGCUUCUGACUUCUUUCCGUGUGU
rnacentral:piRNA from 1 species